rnacentral:misc_RNA from 1 species
AAUCCAAUCAAGCCUGGCUUGGUAUUGGGCGCCGGGACUCCUCCGCGCCUCAAUUUCACCGGCUGGCCGCCGCCCGUCUUAGCGUUGUGACAUACUUUUCGCUGGCGAUGGGGAGCGGUCCACGCCGUUAGAAUUCAACGAGUUUCAAUCGAAAUUCGAUUAAG